UAUUAAUAAAAUUAUUUUGAAUUUUAUAAUGCGUAUUGGCGUAUCCGUAUCGUGUCAUAUCCGAAUUACGUAUCCGUAUCCAUGCUUCUUAGUCAUUGACUUGUUGAGCUGGUCCGUUUGCUAGGUCAAUUAGUGGUCUAGGUCUGUUAACUAUGCUUUUAAGGGGCAAUGUAAUCUCACAUUAGUGAAGCAGACUUCACAAUACAAGUGAAGCUCUUGUUUUGCAAUAUUGAGCCAUUUUGAGUAAAAAUAGGUGGUGGAUGCAAGAGUUGUUAGAAUAGGGUAGAUGAAAGGUGUUUGUGACUUCGAAAAAUGCUUUGAGAAAUUUCAUACUUUGUUUCGCUUUCUCUUUGAAGAUAGAUAUUGUUCAUAGUUGCCUUCUCUUUGAAGAUUAAUUUUUGUUUAUUGCUUAUUCACCUUUCGGUGGGAUUUGCUUCAAGAUCAAGAAUAGUGGUGUUCAAUUUGCAUGAGCCAGGUUGCAGUGUGCAGUAUGUACACCUUUGUUGCUUGGUCUCUAGGUAUGGGUGGAGAGGAUGGAUCUGAAUCCACAUGUGGGGGAAUAUAGGAGUAUCAAGAGUAACUUUUUGUUGAAGUAUACAUCUGGGAUAGAUUAGCAAUAAUUACGUGUUCCUUAAUGAACUUGCAAGUUGAGAUAUGCACUUCAUGACAAUUGGGGAAAUGGAUUCAAUGCAGUCUCAAAAGCUCGAUUAGAUUGAUAUUUUUUAAUUUGCUUCAGGCAAAAUGGGUAAGAUCUCGAAUUAGUUAGAACUUUUCAUGUUGAGUGGAAGGUAAUUGCAAUGUUUACUGGAAUCAAAUAUUCAGAUAUAAAAGUAAAUAAUGGGCCAACAGGGGAAUUGCAUAUUUUGUUUUGUUUACAGAAUUAAUGACAUUGUUACCAAAAGCAAAUUCAUAAAAUUUGGGGCGACAUGAUUGCGGACCAUUUUUGAAGGGAACUUAAAAAAAUGAUUGUUAAGCUCUAUAUCCAGCUAAGUUUCUCUAUUGACAGUGCAUAAAAUUGCAUUUAUCUCUCUUUAGAUGUUGAAAAACUAUAAUUAUUAAUUAUUAUCUCAUGGAAUGAAUCAUUUGAUGUAAUUUUUACGUUAUAGUAGUAGUAACGGUUAACGCUUGAUUUAUGUGUUCUCUUUUCAAUUUGUGCAUAUUUGUAUGGAUAUCUCACUACUUGAAACCCUAGACCUCCCAGAAAAUUUUAUAAUUGAUAGGUAAAAAAAAGAAACUUCAAAAAGAAAAUGAAAUAGAAUAAACCAUGAUAUGAAAAUAUUACUUGCUUCCUCUAUUUCUGAAUUGACAUGGUUUUUAUAUGUAUUUUGUAGUGUGUGGCCUCUCACCCGGACACAAGAAUGUCGUUUCUUAAUGGUACGAUAUUAUUUUUGAUAUUUAUAUAUUUCAUUUUCAAAGAUUUGAACUUCAAGAAAAUUGGCUUUCUUAUGCUGUUUUUGUAGAGUGUAGGAGAUGUUGGUUUUUUACAUUAAGGGUGU
rnacentral:lncRNA from 1 species